GACGAACGCUGGCGGCGUGCCUAAUACAUGCAAGUCGAACGCAGUGGGGACGGGUGAGUAACACGUGGGUAACCUCCCAUCAGAGGGGAUAACACUUGGAAACAGGUGCUAAACCGAUACUGAUGGAUGAACCCGCGGUGAAUUAGCUAGUUGGUGAGGUAACGGCUCACCAAGGCCACGAAGCAUAGCGUGCCUGAGAGGGUGAUCGGCCCCACUUGAACUGAGUCACGGCCCAGACUCCUGCGGGCGGCACCCGUUGGGCAUCUGCGGCAAUGGACGAAAGUCUGACCGCUGACCGCCGCGUGAGUGAAGAAGUUUUUCGGAUAGUAAAACUCUGUUGUUAGAGCAACGGUCUCUUUUCAGAAAGCCCCUGCUAACUACGUGCCAGCAGCCGCGGUAAUUC
rnacentral:rRNA from 1 species